AUUUCGGGCAAGAUGCGGAGAGAGUAGAGGGCGGAUCACGUAAGGUCACAGUACUGACCCAUUCUACAUCCUGGCAUUAAUGGACCUGCAUCAGCAAUGAGUGAAAUGGAGGGCCGUUUCCACUGGGGAAAGAGGCUGAAUGAUUUUUAAAUGGCUGACAGUGGCUGACCAGUGGACUGGGCACAGUGCGAUUAUGCUGUCGCAUGGCAGGCACAUCCAUCCAGGGAUGCUGGCACGGUUUGCUGAAUUUGGACUGAGCAACAAAGGACUGAUGGAAGCCUCACAUCUGAGGUAACAGCAGCGUGCUGCCACUCUCAGUGACCUCUGGUCAGCCUGUGGAGGCUGCUUGUGAAGCCUCCUCCUCGGACUCCAUGGCUGUGUGAGCGUAACUUCCGGAGCAUUGCUGAGUGUAAAGCAAGCAGCGGAUGGAGGUCAUGCGUUUCAGGUGAGAGGCUCUCUGCGACUACCAGAGAAGGGCGCAGCAGUGAGCACACGCACAUGCAAACUGGGCUUCCCAAACCGGAGAGGAAAUAGGGCCCAAAUGAAAAUAAAUUAACCAAUAUAACCAAAUGAACAUGAGGCAACCUGUUUAUGAUUGGCAGACAUAAUGUGUUUAACCAAUACAAUAACAUAACCAGCUUCUAUGUGCACUAUACGACCAAAAGUAUCUGGACGCCGCUUAGUCUGAGGCAGUUUUUCAAGGUUGGGCUAAAUGGAAGAAAAUCCCUACAGCAAUGCUCUAUCUAGUA